GAUGAACGCUGGCGGCGUGCCUAAUACAUGCAAGUCGAGCGAACGGACGAGAAGCUUGCUUCUCUGAUGUUAGCGGCGGACGGGUGAGUAACACGUGGAUAACCUACCUAUAAGGCUGGGAUAACUUCGGGAAACCGGAGCUAAUACCGGAUAAUAUUUUGAACCGCAUGGUUCAAAAGUGAAAGACGGUCUUGCUGUCACUUAUAGAUGGAUCCGCGCUGCAUUAGCUAGUUGGUAAGGUAACGGCUUACCAAGGCAACGAUGCAUAGCCGACCUGAGAGGGUGAUCGGCCACACGGGAACUGAGACACGGUCCAGACUCCUACGGGAGGCAGCAGUAGGGAAUCUUCCGCAAUGGGCGAAAGCCUGACGGAGCAACGCCGCGUGAGUGAUGAAGGUCUUCGGAUCGUAAAACUCUGUUAUUAGGGAAGAACAUAUGUGUAAGUAACUGUGCACAUCUUGACGGUACCUAAUCAGAAAGCCACGGCUAACUACGUG
rnacentral:rRNA from 1 species